ensembl:lncRNA
CCCCCAUGGGGCCCCGGGGCUGCGUCCACAGGAGCCAGCCCAUGUGGCCGAAAGAGCAGCCCAGCCCCAGCACGCAAGGCAGGAAGGCCAGGGCUCCCAGGAGCGUGAAGUAGCAGGAGGUCUGAGCAGGGUUCAGAAGCAAGAGGCAGGCCCAGGCCCCCUCCUCCAUGACUGCUCGCUGGAACAGCCAUGUGGGCAGCGAGGCUGUGAGGCCCAGGGCCCACAUGGCCCCGCAGAGCAGCCGGCGAGCACCCGGGCCGGACGGGAGGGCCAGGUCGGGCCGGGCCACAGCCAUGUGGCGCAGGAGCGCCGUGGCCACCAUGCUGUAGAAGGUGCAGAACAUGGUGGCGCUGUUGGCGGCCUGGCUGGUGGUGCAGACGGUGGGGCCCAGCCACCAGUCCUGCUGCAGGAAGCUCAGCAGGAGCACCGGCACCACACAGGCCAGGAAGAGCAGGUCGGACAGCGUGAUGUUCACCAUGAGGCUGUUGGUCAAGGAGAGGAGCGGGCAGGGGGUGCCCGGGCCCCGGCCCACCACCAGCAGCAUCAGCCCAUUGGCCAGCAACCCCACCAGCAGGAUGAGGCCACAGACCCCCGCAAAGACGAGUCGGAGCGGUUGCUCGGCUGUGGCCGUGAGCCCGGCGCUAGACGUGGCGUUGGCCUGCAUUCUGCUGCUCCAGGCCCACGAGGACAGCGCAGAAGCCAGCCCGCAGGCCGCCUUCCUCUUUCCCUGCCGAGCUCCCUCCUUUCGCAGACCCCUGCACACGGUGGGUGCCCCGGGCCUGCCUCAGCAACCUGGUGGGAUGGGCUCUGUCAGUGCCCCGUCAGUGCCCUGGGUUCAAAUCCUGACUCUGCUACUUGGGAGUGCCACGGUCUGGUGUGCAGCUCGUGUGGCUUUUGCUGCUCAGCCUCAUCUAUAAGGAAUCGAGGAAAUAAAGGAAGUAAAACAGGUGUCAACAGUAAAUGUCCCUCAAGGACGAGAUGGAGCUUCAAGCUAAGUUGUGACCAGAGCCCCCUUGACGGACAUGCCCUGAGAACUCACCCCUUGCCUGGAAGUUCACUCUGAGGUCUAUCCUGAGUUCCUCCUGCUGCCUCCUCACCUGCCUGUGCUGCUCGGAAGUUCCUUGGCUCUGCUUGGUGACGUGGAGCCCUUUGACACCAGGGCAGACUGGUGACGCCUCCACAGCUGUGCUCUGCCCUGAAGCUGGAUCCAGCCUGCGAAAGCUAAGAGAAGGUUCUGGGCAGGGGUGCCGUUCCUUCUAGCACCCCACCUCCAAGGAGCUAGC